UACGUAGGGUGCAAGCGUUGUCCGGAAUUAUUGGGCGUAAAGCGCUCGUAGGCGGUUUGUCGCGUCUGCUGUGAAAACCCGAGGCUCAACCUCGGGCCUGCAGUGGGUACGGGCAGACUAGAGUGCGGUAGGGGAGAUUGGAAUUCCUGGUGUAGCGGUGGAAUGCGCAGAUAUCAGGAGGAACACCGAUGGCGAAGGCGGGUCUCUGGGCAGUAACUGACGCUGAGGAGCGAAAGCGUGGGGAGCGAACAGG
rnacentral:rRNA from 1 species